rnacentral:rRNA from 1 species
UACGUAGGGUGCGAGCGUUUAAUCGGAAUUACUGGGCGUAAAGCGUGCGCAGGCGGUUUUGUAAGCCAGAUGUGAAAGCCCCGGGCUUAACCUGGGAAUGGCAUUUGGGACUGCAAGGCUCGAGUGCGGCAGAGGAGACUGGAAUUCCUGGUGUAGCAGUGAAAUGCGUAGAUAUCAGGAGGAAUACCGAUGGCGAAGGCAGGUCUCUGGGCUGACACUGACGCUCAUGCACGAAAGCGUGGGGAGCAAACAGG